UACAGAGGGGGCAAGCGUUGUUCGGAAUUACUGGGCGUAAAGGGCGCGUAGGCGGCUUUCUAAGUCGAACGUGAAAUCCCUGGGCUCAACCCAGGAACUGCGUCCAAGACUGGGAGGCUUGAAUCCGGGAGAGGGAUGCGGAAUUCCAGGUGUAGCGGUGAAAUGCGUAGAUAUCUGGAGGAACACCGGUGGCGAAGGCGGCAUCCUGGACCGGUAUUGACACUGAGGCGCGAAAGCCAGGGGAGCAAACGGG
rnacentral:rRNA from 1 species